GGACGAACGCUGGCGGCGUGCUUAACACAUGCAAGUCGAACGGGGUGAAAGUUUUCGGAUUUUCACUUAGUGGCGAACGGGUGAGUAACGCGUGAGGAACCUGCCUUUCAGUGGGGGACAACAGUUGGAAACGACUGCUAAUACCGCAUAACGUAUUCGGACCGCAUGAUCUGGAUACCAAAGAUUUAUCGCUGAAAGAUGGCCUCGCGUCUGAUUAGCUAGUUGGUGGGGUAACGGCCCACCAAGGCGACGAUCAGUAGCCGGACUGAGAGGUUGAACGGCCACAUUGGGACUGAGAUACGGCCCAGACUCCUACGGGAGGCAGCAGUGGGGAAUAUUGGGCAAUGGGCGCAAGCCUGACCCAGCAACGCCGCGUGAAGGAAGAAGGCCUUCGGGUUGUAAACUUCUUUUAGCAGGGACGAAGAACGUGACGGUACCUGCAGAAAAAGCAACGGCUAACUACGUG
rnacentral:rRNA from 1 species